GGCUCUAUAGUGUAGUGGUUAGUACGUCUGCUUUACAUGCAGAAGGUCCUGAGUUCAGCACCCCAGGUGGAGCCA
rnacentral:tRNA from 1 species